ACCUACGGGACGCAGCAGUGAGGAAUAUUGGACAAUGGGAGCAAUCCUGAUCCAGCCAUGCCGCGUGCAGGAAGACGGUCCUAUGGAUUGUAAACUGCUUUUAUACAGGAAGAAAAAGCCCGACGAGUCGGGUGUUGACGGUACUGUAUGAAUAAGGAUCGGCUAACUCCGUGCCAGCAGCCGCGGUAAUACGGAGGAUCCGAGCGUUAUCCGGAAUUAUUGGGUUUAAAGGGUCCGUAGGCGGGAUAAUAAGUCAGUGGUGAAAGCUUGUGGCUCAACCAUAAAAUUGCCAUUGAUACUGUUAUUCUUGAGUUAUCGUGAAGUGGUUAGAAUGUGUAGUGUAGCGGUGAAAUGCAUAGAUAUUACACAGAAUACCAAUUGCGAAGGCAGAUCACUAACAAUGCACUGACGCUGAUGGACGAAAGCGUAGGUAGCGAACAGGAUUAGAUACCCGGGUAGUCGG
rnacentral:rRNA from 1 species